rnacentral:rRNA from 1 species
UUGAACGCUGGCGGCAGGCCUAACACAUGCAAGUCGAGCGGAUGAAGGGAGCUUGCUCCUGGAUUCAGCGGCGGACGGGUGAGUAAUGCCUAGGAAUCUGCCUGGUAGUGGGGGAUAACGUCCGGAAACGGGCGCUAAUACCGCAUACGUCCUGAGGGAGAAAGUGGGGGAUCUUCGGACCUCACGCUAUCAGAUGAGCCUAGGUCGGAUUAGCUAGUUGGUGGGGUAAAGGCCUACCAAGGCGACGAUCCAUAACUGGUCUGAGAGGAUGAUCAGUCACACUGGAACUGAGACACGGUCCAGACUCCUACGGGAGGCAGCAGUGGGGAAUAUUGGACAAUGGGCGAAAGCCUGAUCCAGCCAUGCCGCGUGUGUGAAGAAGGUCUUCGGAUUGUAAAGCACUUUAAGUUGGGAGGAAGGGCAGUAAGUUAAUACCUUGCUGUUUUGACGUUACCAACAGAAUAAGCACCGGCUAACUUCGUG